AUUGAACGCUGGCGGCAUGCUUUACAUAUGCAAGUCGAACGGUAACAGGGUGCUUGCACCGCUGACGAGUGGCGUACGGGUGAGUAAUGCGUCGGAACGUGCCGAGUAGUGGGGGAUAACGCAGCGAAAGUUGUGCUAAUACCGCAUACGUACUGAGGUAGAAAGUGGGGGACCUUCGGGCCUCACGCUAUUCGAGCGGCCGACGUCUGAUUAGCUAGUAGGUGAGGUAAAGGCUCACCUAGGCGACGAUCAGUAGCGGGUCUGAGAGGAUGAUCCGCCACACUGGGACUGAGACACGGCCCAGACUCCUACGGGAGGCAGCAGUGGGGAAUUUUGGACAAUGGGCGAAAGCCUGAUCCAGCCAUGCCGCGUGUCUGAAGAAGGCCUUCGGGUUGUAAAGGACUUUUGUCGGGGAGGAAAUCCCCAGCGUUAAUACCGCUGGGGGAUGACAGUACCUGAAGAAUAAGCACCGGCUAACUACGUGCCAGCCGCCGCGGUAAUAC
rnacentral:rRNA from 1 species